rnacentral:rRNA from 1 species
UAGAUUAAGUUAUUAAGGGCGCACGGUGGAUGCCUUGGCACUAGAAGCCGAUGAAGGACGUUACUAACGACGAUAUGCUUUGGGGAGCUGUAAGUAAGCUUUGAUCCAGAGAUUUCCGAAUGGGGAAACCCAGCAUGAGUUAUGUCAUGUUAUCGAUAUGUGAAUACAUAGCAUAUCAGAAGGCACACCCGGAGAACUGAAACAUCUUAGUACCCGGAGGAAGAGAAAGAAAAUUCGAUUCCCUUAGUAGCGGCGAGCGAAACGGGAAGAGCCCAAACCAACAAGCUUGCUUGUUGGGGUUGUAGGACACUCUAUACGGAGUUACAAAGGACGACAUUAGACGAAUCAUCUGGAAAGAUGAAUCAAAGAAGGUAAUAAUCCUGUAGUCGAAAAUGUUGUCUCUCUUGAGUGGAUCCUGAGUACGACGGAGCACGUGAAAUUCCGUCGGAAUCUGGGAGGACCAUCUCCUAAGGCUAAAUACUCUCUAGUGACCGAUAGUGAACCAGUACCGUGAGGGAAAGGUGAAAAGCACCCCGGAAGGGGAGUGAAAUAGAACCUGAAACCGUGUGCUUACAAGUAGUCAGAGCCCGUUAAUGGGUGAUGGCGUGCCUUUUGUAGAAUGAACCGGCGAGUUACGAUUUGAUGCAAGGUUAAGCAGUAAAUGUGGAGCCGUAGCGAAAGCGAGUCUGAAUAGGGCGUUUAGUAUUUGGUCGUAGACCCGAAACCAGGUGAUCUACCCUUGGUCAGGUUGAAGUUCAGGUAACACUGAAUGGAGGACCGAACCGACUUACGUUGAAAAGUGAGCGGAUGAACUGAGGGUAGCGGAGAAAUUCCAAUCGAACCUGGAGAUAGCUGGUUCUCUCCGAAAUAGCUUUAGGGCUAGCCUCAAGUGAUGAUUAUUGGAGGUAGAGCACUGUUUGGACGAGGGGCCCCUCUCGGGUUACCGAAUUCAGACAAACUCCGAAUGCCAAUUAAUUUAACUUGGGAGUCAGAACAUGGGUGAUAAGGUCCGUGUUCGAAAGGGAAACAGCCCAGACCACCAGCUAAGGUCCCAAAAUAUAUGUUAAGUGGAAAAGGAUGUGGCGUUGCCCAGACAACUAGGAUGUUGGCUUAGAAGCAGCCAUCAUUUAAAGAGUGCGUAAUAGCUCACUAGUCGAGUGACACUGCGCCGAAAAUGUACCGGGGCUAAACAUAUUACCGAAGCUGUGGAUUGUCCUUUGGACAAUGGUAGGAGAGCGUUCUAAGGGCGUUGAAGCAUGAUCGUAAGGACAUGUGGAGCGCUUAGAAGUGAGAAUGUCGGUGUGAGUAGCGAAAGACGGGUGAGAAUCCCGUCCACCGAUUGACUAAGGUUUCCAGAGGAAGGCUCGUCCGCUCUGGGUUAGUCGGGUCCUAAGCUGAGGCCGACAGGCGUAGGCGAUGGAUAACAGGUUGAUAUUCCUGUACCACCUAUAAUCGUUUUAAUCGAUGGGGGGACGCAGUAGGAUAGGCGAAGCGUGCGAUUGGAUUGCACGUCUAAGCAGUAAGGCUGAGUAUUAGGCAAAUCCGGUACUCGUUAAGGCUGAGCUGUGAUGGGGAGAAGACAUUGAGUCUUCGAGUCGUUGAUUUCACACUGCCGAGAAAAGCCUCUAGAUAGAAAAUAGGUGCCCGUACCGCAAACCGACACAGGUAGUCAAGAUGAGAAUUCUAAGGUGAGCGAGCGAACUCUCGUUAAGGAACUCGGCAAAAUGACCCCGUAACUUCGGGAGAAGGGGUGCUCUUUAGGGUUAACGCCCAGAAGAGCCGCAGUGAAUAGGCCCAAGCGACUGUUUAUCAAAAACACAGGUCUCUGCUAAACCGUAAGGUGAUGUAUAGGGGCUGACGCCUGCCCGGUGCUGGAAGGUUAAGAGGAGUGGUUAGCUUCUGCGAAGCUACGAAUCGAAGCCCCAGUAAACGGCGGCCGUAACUAUAACGGUCCUAAGGUAGCGAAAUUCCUUGUCGGGUAAGUUCCGACCCGCACGAAAGGCGUAACGAUUUGGGCACUGUCUCAACGAGAGACUCGGUGAAAUCAUAGUACCUGUGAAGAUGCAGGUUACCCGCGACAGGACGGAAAGACCCCGUGGAGCUUUACUGUAGCCUGAUAUUGAAAUUCGGCACAGCUUGUACAGGAUAGGUAGGAGCCUUUGAAACGUGAGCGCUAGCUUACGUGGAGGCGCUGGUGGGAUACUACCCUAGCUGUGUUGGCUUUCUAACCCGCACCACUUAUCGUGGUGGGAGACAGUGUCAGGCGGGCAGUUUGACUGGGGCGGUCGCCUCCUAAAAGGUAACGGAGGCGCUCAAAGGUUCCCUCAGAAUGGUUGGAAAUCAUUCAUAGAGUGUAAAGGCAUAAGGGAGCUUGACUGCGAGACCUACAAGUCGAGCAGGGUCGAAAGACGGACUUAGUGAUCCGGUGGUUCCGCAUGGAAGGGCCAUCGCUCAACGGAUAAAAGCUACCCCGGGGAUAACAGGCUUAUCUCCCCCAAGAGUUCACAUCGACGGGGAGGUUUGGCACCUCGAUGUCGGCUCAUCGCAUCCUGGGGCUGUAGUCGGUCCCAAGGGUUGGGCUGUUCGCCCAUUAAAGCGGUACGCGAGCUGGGUUCAGAACGUCGUGAGACAGUUCGGUCCCUAUCCGUCGUGGGCGUAGGAAAUUUGAGAGGAGCUGUCCUUAGUACGAGAGGACCGGGAUGGACAUACCUCUGGUGUACCAGUUGUCGUGCCAACGGCAUAGCUGGGUAGCUAUGUGUGGACGGGAUAAGUGCUGAAAGCAUCUAAGCAUGAAGCCCCCUCAAGAUGAGAUUUCCCAACUUCGGUUAUAAGAUCCCUCAAAGAUGAUGAGGUUAAUAGGUUCGAGGUGGAAGCAUGGUGACAUGUGGAGCUGACGAAUACUAAUCGAUCGAAGACUUAAUCAA